rnacentral:rRNA from 1 species
CCUAAGGGUGGCUGCAGUGAGGAAUAUUGGUCAAUGGCCGGAAGGCUGAACCAGCCAUGCCGCGUGAAGGUCAGUGCCCUAUGGGCGUUAAACUUCUUUUGUGCGGGAGCAAUAAUGGUCACGUGUGGCCAGACGAGAGUACCGUACGAAUAAGCAUCGGCUAACUCCGUGCCAGCAGCCGCGGUAAUACGGGGGAUGCAAGCGUUAUCCGGAUUUAUUGGGUUUAAAGGGUGCGUAGGCUGUGAGGUAAGUCAGCGGUGAAAUGCCCCCGCUCGACGGGGUGAAGUGCCAUUGAUACUGCCUUGCUGGAAUGCGGAUGCCGUGGGAGGAAUGUGUGGUGUAGCGGUGAAAUGCAUAGAUAUCACACAGAACACCGAUUGCGAAGGCAUCUCACGAAUCCGCGAUUGACGCUGAUGCACGAAAGCGUGGGUAUCAAACAGGAUUAGAUACCCCAGUAGUC